GUGGGGAAUCUUCCGCAAUGGACGAAAGUCUGACGGAGCAACGCCGCGUGAGUGAUGAAGGUCUUCGGAUUGUAAAGCUCUGUUAAUCGGGACGAAAGAGCCUAGUGUGAAUAAUGCUAGGAAGUGACGGUACCGGAAUAGAAAGCCACGGCUAACUACGUGCCAGCAGCCGCGGUAAUACGUAGGUGGCAAGCGUUGUCCGGAAUUAUUGGGCGUAAAGCGCGCGCAGGCGGAUCUGCCAGUCUGUCUUAAAAGUUCGGGGCUUAACCCCGUGAUGAGAUGGAAGAUACAGAUCUAGAGUAUCGGAGAGGAAAGUGGAAUUCCUAGUGUAGCGGUGAAAUGCGUAGAUAUUAGGAAGAACUCCAGUGGCGAAGGCGACUUUCUGGACGAAAACUGACGCUGAGGCGCGAAAGCCAGGGGAGCGAACGGGAUUAGAUACCCGGGUAGUCC
rnacentral:rRNA from 1 species